AACUAAAACCCUAAAAUUUCUAACCUAAGUCUACCAGUAUUCUCUCUCUCCCUCUCUACUUCGUGCAAACCAGAACCCUAGCCCCCUCCAUUAAUCCGAACCCAAGCCCCUCCAGUUCGAACCCCAAAGCUCCCUCCAGUCCGAGAACCCCAACCGUCACCUUCUUCCAGUCCAAGAACCCCGGCGACCCACCUUCCUCCAGUCCGAGAACCCAACACCCCGAAUCUGACCAAAUCUCAGUAAUGGUGGUCGAAUCUGACCACAAAAUCAAGCUCGACGCCCGUAAAAAUAAAGGCGCUGGAGAAGGAAAUGGCUCCUCCACCGUCAUCGAAGCCCGCUAAGUCAGGGGGAGGCAAUGUUUCUGAUAGUUCGUGGUUCUUCUUGCAGCCACUAAAGAUGAGGCAAUUAAUUUGUGUAGCUAAAGAUGAAGAAAUUGUGUUGUGGCAGCUGGAACUCUGAACUGAGAUGAGGCAAGAGACCUUAAAUUACCUCUUAAGGAUAGGUUCUUAAGGAAGUUGGACUAUGCAGCCAGGAUUGGAGAGGCAAUGUUUGGAUUUGAUAAUUUUAUUUAUUUUUUGUUGUUGUAUUGUUCAUACCAAUUUUUAGGUUUGUAGUCAUAUUUUGUUUUAAUGUUAUUGUAUUUUGUUUAUGUAUUUUAUUUAAAUUAUACUUGUAUUUUUUCUUAUUCUGUAUUAAUUAUAAUAUAAUUAUUUUUGUA